rnacentral:lncRNA from 1 species
GUGGCUUAUUUUUCUCACUUACUUUAUGGUGUCUUUGGUUGAAUAGAAGUUCUUAAUUUUAAUAUAUAGAAAUUUAUCAAUCUUUUCUGAAUAGUGCUUUUUGUGUCUUGCUAAACAAAUCCUUCCCAAAGGUCAUGAUGUUAUUUUCCUGUAUUGUCUUCUAAAACCUUUACAAUUUUCUUUCAUAUUUAGGUCUCUAAACCUUCCAGGAAUUGGUUUUUCCAGAUGACAUAAAAAUAGGAGUUAAGUUAAAUUUUUCCAUUUGAAUACCCUGUUGUUUUCAGCAUCACACAUUAAGGAGUGCAUUCUUUCCCUCUGAUCCACAGCGCGACCUCUGUGUGUCCCCCCUGGUUGUUUGUGGGGUUUUCCUUCAGCGCUGGUCUUUGUGCCCACGCGGCUCUGUCUUCAUCUCUCUGGUGCAUAAGGAGACUUGGCAUCAGGAAGGCAAAUCCUUCCACCACGGCCUAUUGGGAAUAUCCUGCUGCUUGUGGCUCUCUGCACGUCUCUGUUAAUUUCGAGUCAGCUUAUUCAGUUUACACGCCACAAUCAAAACUGCUGGGCUUUUCAUUAAAAUUGUUCCUGUUCUACAAAUUAGGAACCCUGACGGGUGUGUCAUGGCUCCCAGCAACUGCCCAUUCAGGCAACCGUCUGCUUCUGUGAGCCAGCAUCGCGACACCCCUGAGUAGUCACAAGUGACCUGAAUUAUCUCAUUACAUCAAGACACCAGAUCUGCAUGUGACAAAAUGUUUACAAAAAGCAACUGCAGGGUGGGAGGUUGUGUUUUCUACAGAGGGAGAUCUCAAUCCUGAUUAAGAAAAAUGUAGAGAAAUGAUAAAAUAAACACUUGAACAUUUUGGUACCUCUCUGGGCUAGGGCUGAACCUUGGUGCUGGUCCGAAUCACUCCAGAGCGGGGGAGCCCUCCUGGAAUGCCGCCAAGAAUUGAAGAAGGGCUCUUUAGAGAACUCACGAAAUGCUAAAAUAUUUCAUUCUGUCCUCAGUUUAAUUCUCUCAUGUAAGCUUGGAGCAGUUUUUAGUAAAAGAAGAAAUCUGACUGUCUGAAAUCUAAGACCAAAACUCAGCUUCAAGUGACAUGACUGCAGGUUGCAGAACUCCCUCAAGUCUCCCAGAGCGAGUGCCUAUGGCCAGCAUCCGGCAGGUCGCCUCUGCCUCACAGCAGCUGGGACCUGGAGACACACAGGCAUCCGGGAAGUUCUCUCGUGGACUUUUCAGGGAACUUCACAUUCUCAGGCUCUCUCCAUGGACUGUGACCCUCACCCAGGCGACAGCAGCUGGGCAGCUGGUCUAGAUGAUCCCCACAGGGACCGUGACAGCGCCGGUGGCCCAGCAGAAACUCCUGCAGCAGCGGGCUGUGAGGACAGCAGCGGCAGCCCACUGCAGGCGUCUAGUGUCCCACCAGUGCAGAGCAACAGUGCUGGGUCUUGAAAGCCAGUUAGGACUUCUCUGUUAGUGUACAGGGUUUUGCACAUCACAGGAGCCCUUUGGCGGUGCAGUGAAUCAUAAAACAGACUUUAUGAAGCUAGAACAUGGUCUUUGACAGAACCUGCGUCUGCUUGGCUCUUUAUACCUGACUGGAAAGGCAUCAUGGUCCUGAGACAGGAGAGAGACGGACUAUGGUAGAUCAUUUCAGGUCAGAGGAAGCCAGUGUGGUUUUUCCCUUCCCUCCUAAAAUGUGACUUGUUUGAACUUUGAAAGAAAAUGUUUAGUACUGACGCCCACCGAAGCACAUUCACGAUGUGUUCUCGGCUUGUGUCGAGGGGAAAUAAUCUGUGAUUGAGUUUUCAUCCCAAAGAGCAGCCAGUGUGGCUUCCCCAGAGCCUCCCCCGUGUGACUUGCUUCCAUGGAAACACAGCCUUCGGGACUGCUCCUCUUCCCAGCACAUCCGCGGUAUUUCCCAGCUUUUGGAUGAAGCUCGUGUUUGGACUCAGUGCACUGAAGCAGCUCCGGUGAACGUGUGAGGCUCCCGUCUCGGGUGGUGUGGGGCCCAGAGCACAGCUCAAGUGUUGUUCUGUUGCAGACGUCACUGCUGAGUGCAGGGCCGGCUGAGACCACCAACUCAUCAACCAGGCCCGCAGAGAUGUCGGAUAGGCGAUCUUUUGACGUCAAGAGGCUAAAAACUCCACCCUCUGAUCAUGCUAACGCCGACAUUUUGUGAACAUGGGUCCUAUGAAGAGGCAUGGAGUCUGACUACGCUUGCGCAGCUCAUCAUUACCUCACCUCUCCUCCCCUCCAAUCACCUCUCUCCACACUUCAGACCACCUUGCCCCCAUCCCAUAAAUAUCCCUGAGUCCCUAUUUUCAGGGAAGUGGAUUUGAGGCUCAUGCUCU